UACGGAGGGGGCUAGCGUUGUUCGGAAUUACUGGGCGUAAAGCGCACGUAGGCGGCUUUGUAAGUUAGAGGUGAAAGCCCAGGGCUUAACCCUGGAAUUGCCUUUAAGACUGCAUCGCUAGAAUUGUGGAGAGGUAAGUGGAAUUCCGAGUGUAGAGGUGAAAUUCGUAGAUAUUCGGAAGAACACCAGUGGCGAAGGCGGCUCACUGGCCCGGUACUGACGCUGAGAUACGAAAGCGUGGGGAGCAAACAGG
rnacentral:rRNA from 1 species